CAGCAGCCGCGGGAAUACGAAGGGUGCAAGCGUUAAUCGGAAUUACUGGGCGUAAAGCGUGCGUAGGCGGUGAGUUAAGUCUGCUGUGAAAUCCCCGGGCUCAACCUAGGAAUGGCAGUGGAUACUGGCUCGCUAGAGUGUGUCAGAGGAUGGUGGAAUUCCCGGUGUAGCGGUGAAAUGCGUAGAGAUCGGGAGGAACAUCAGUGGCGAAGGCGGCCAUCUGGGACAACACUGACGCUGAGGCACGAAAGCGUGGGGAGCAAACAGGAUUAGAUACCCCAGUAGUCCCUGUCUCUUAUAC
rnacentral:rRNA from 1 species